rnacentral:lncRNA from 1 species
UUGUGUUACCCGCUGCACUCCUUUACCACGUCGGUGGUGCCGUUAUCUAACCAAAAACGGUAUCCGUGACAUCUGUGACGCAACCUUUCCUCGACUGUUACACGUCGCACAGCUUUCGCAACGUUCGCUUAACAUGCUUGGCACCAAGCGCUCUGUCCCACCGUAUGCAUGCUCGCGUAUGCAUGCUCGGAAACCAUGCAGAAGAAGAACAACAGCCUGCCGUCCGCUUGACAUCCCGUCAUAUGUACAUAACACUAACUUGCACACCCAUAAAAUGUCCAAUGGGACUGCUUCCACAGGCUGCCGCAAAUAAUCAUAACAAAACACCUAUCUUCCUGUACAUGCUCCUGUACACGCACGCUCUGAAACUAGCCCAUGAGUGUCGUACACACCACACCGCUGUACCGACACAAGUGCGCUCUUCUAUUGGGUAAACCCAAACGACUGGUGGCGCGUAAUGUACAGAUUCCCGCUCGGAAUUAAAACCCGCAUU